UCAGAACGUCGUGAGACAGUUCGGUCCCUAUCCGUCGCAGGCGUAGGAAAUUUGAGAAGACCUGUCCUUAGUACGAGAGGACCGGGAUGGACGUACCUCUGGUGUACCAGUUGUCCUGCCAAGGGCAUGGCUGGGUAGCUAUGUACGGAAUGGAUAAGCGCUGAAAGCAUCUAAGCGCGAAGCCAACUUCAAGAUAAGAUUUCCCACCGCAAGGGUAAGACCCCAGAAAGACUAUCUGGUUGAUAGGUCGAAGGUGUAAGUGCAGCAAUGUAUUUAGCUUAUCGAUACUAAUAGGUCGAGGACUUGACCAA
rnacentral:rRNA from 1 species